rnacentral:misc_RNA from 1 species
CUGAGUUGUCUCGUCUUCGAGACCCUCUCACACUUGCAUUGCAUCAAUGUCCUUUCGGCAAAGCGCGACGUAGUCGCCGCUGGCUCUCGUCUCGAGACCGCGAGUCUUUGCCGGAGUCCACAACUCGUCGAAUCUUGACAUAGUCUGUUCAAAUUCAAAUUGAAACA